AGAGUUGAUCCUGGCUCAGGAUGAACGCUAGCUACAGGCUUAACACAUGCAAGUCGAGGGGCAGCAUAAUCGAAGCUUGCUUUGAUUGAUGGCGACCGGCGCACGGGUGAGUAACGCGUAUCCAACCUUCCCCUUAGUAGGGCAUAGCCCGGCGAAAGUCGGAUUAAUACCCUAUGUUAUCCGUCGAGGGCAUCUGAAGUGGAUUAAAGAUUUAUCGCUAAGGGAUGGGGAUGCGUCUGAUUAGGUUGUUGGCGGGGUAACGGCCCACCAAGCCUACGAUCAGUAGGGGUUCUGAGAGGAAGGUCCCCCCACAUUGGUACUGAGACACGGACCAAACUCCUACGGGAGGCAGCAGUGAGGAAUAUUGGUCAAUGGGCGAGAGCCUGAACCAGCCAAGUAGCGUGCAGGAUGACGGCCCUAUGGGUUGUAAACUGCUUUUGCAUGGGAAUAAAGUCGGGGACGUGUCCCCGUUUGUAUGUACCAUGAGAAUAAGGACCGGCUAAUUCCGUGCCAGCCGCCGC
rnacentral:rRNA from 1 species